UACGAAGGGGGCUGGCGUUGUUCGGAAUCACUGGGCGUAAAGGGCGCGUAGGCGGCCGCUCAAGUCGGGGGUGAAAGCCUGUGGCUUAACCACAGAAUUGCCUUCGAUACUGUCGGGCUUGAGACCGGAAGAGGUAAGUGGAACUGCGAGUGUAGAGGUGAAAUUCGUAGAUAUUCGCAAGAACACCGGUGGCGAAGGCGGCUUACUGGUCCGGUUCUGACGCUGAGGCGCGAAAGCGUGGGGAGCAAACAGG
rnacentral:rRNA from 1 species